GUAGUUAAAUGGAUAUAACAGCCCCCUCCUAAGGGGCAAUUCCGAGUUCGAUUCUCAGCGGGAGUACCA
rnacentral:tRNA from 1 species